UCUGUGUUGACCAAGCGCUCGGGGAUUCUGUCCCCUGUGUCCGAAUCAAUUUCAUGAGAGUUUCCCGAACUCGAACUGCUCUCAGCGUCAUCACAUUCGGGCUCAAAACAGUAUACGCCAUAUACUCUGAUGACAACACAUGCGCAAUAGGUUAAGAUUUCGUACGUCAUCAUCUCAAAAUGGCGACCACCAUAGGGUUACGCCUCUCGUUGGAAGCUCAAUUUCUCCGUUCAGAAAGAGUUCUAUUAAGAAAGAAAGAUGGAAAAGCGUCAAAGCUGGCUGCACGAGGCAAUAGAUCUUCGAACAUAUCAUCGACCUCAUCAUCUGGAAUAAUAACAAAUUACAAUCGCAAAGUUGCCAUCAGAAAUAUACAGAUACUAUGUAGUUGCAAAUAACAGCAGAGUGAUCCUUCUGGAAAUGUAGUAAGGAAACAAAGACUUGAUGACAACAAAUUACCAGAAUUACAUCAGAAUCGUCAUAUUCGGCU